UCAUCCUCAUCCCCAUCUUCAUCCUCCUCCUCAUCUUCAUCCUCAUCUUCAUCCUCCUCCUCCUCCUCCUCAUCCCCUUCUUCAUCCUCAUCCUCGUCCUCGUCCUCAUCUUCAUCCUCAUCCUUCUCCUCCUCCUCAUCCUCAUCCCCUACUUCAUCCCCUUCUUCAUCCUCAUCCUCCUCUUCAUCCUCCUCUUCAUCCUCAUCUUCAUCCUCAUCUUCAUCCUCAUCUUCAUCCUCAUCCUUCUCCUCCUCAUCAUUCUCAUCUUCAUCCUCAUCCUCAUCCUCCUCCUCCUCCUCUUCCUCCUCAUCUUCAUCCUCAUCCUUCUCCUCCUCCUCAUCCUCAUCCCCGUCUUCAUCCUCAUCCUCAUCUUCAUCAUCCUCUUCAUCUCAUCUUCAUCCUCCUUCUCGUCCUCCUCCUUGUCCUCAUUUUCAUCCUCCUCCUCCUCCUCCUCCUCAUCCUGCUUCUCAUCCUAUCUUCAUCCUCCUCCUCCUCCUCAUCCUCCUCCUCAUCCUCCUUCUCAUCCUCAUCUUCAUCCUCGUCUUCAUCCUCCUCUUCGUCCUCCUCUUCGUCCUCCUUCUCCUCCUCAUCCUCGUCUUCAUUCUCUUCUUCAUCCUCAUCUUCAUCCCCAUCCUCCUCGUCCUCAUCCUUGUCCUCAUCCUCCUUCUCAUCCUCAUCUUCAUCCUCGUCUUCAUCCUCCUCCUCCUCAUCCUCAUCUUCAUCCUCAUCCCUCUCUCUGUCCUCCUCAUCCUCACCCCUUCUUCAUCCUCCUCCUCCUCCUCAUGUUAAUCCUCGUCUUCAUCCUCAUCUUCAUCCUUCUCCCCGUCCUGCUCCUCAUCCUCGUCCUCAUCCUCAUCCCUCAUCCUCCACCUCCUCCU
rnacentral:lncRNA from 1 species